UUGUAAAUAAGAUUCUGCUCUGACAUUCGCUGACAUGAUACAUAAAAUUCAUAAAUUCCUCUGACUGAAUGAAAGCAGAAGCUCCCAGCAGAUCCAUUGUGGGAAAGUUGGUAACCAUGGCAGCCCUGUGAUUGACACACAAUCCCUGUCAGUGUUUAUCAGUAACCAUGUUUUGGCACGCUACUGAGUUAAUUCUCAACCAAUGUUGCUUAGGAGGUAAUUACAAAAAGGCAGUACGGCCAGCAGACAAAGACUCGUAAAAUAAAACCAACACACAGUCAGGAGCCCAAACUCAACAGGAAGUCUCGAGGUUGCCAUAGAGAACAAAGGCACCUGAACCCACAACACUUACACAGGUUUUAAGGUUAUGACCGGUGUUUUAAUACUCUAUACGCCUCUGGACUCCAGUCAGCUGAACAGCACACUGUAGACUCUUAGACAUCAUGGGUUGCAACACAAGCCGAGGUGCCACAGUGGUGGACCCUUCUGAAAAGCCAGAGGAGAGGCCGAAGACAGCCACUUCCACCAAGGAGGCGUCUGCAGAGGAAACCAAUGGAACAACAGACAAAGACGAGGAUGAAAAAACGGGGAGCUCCAGCUGAGUGCCAUCUUUACACCCCAACCUAAACUCUUCUCAAAAUUGGCCUGUCUGGGGUGAAGGAGGGCCUGUCAGCAGGAGGAGGCGACGCUGCACUACUGUCCAUCAACCUCUGUGUCAUCUGGGCCAGCCACACACACACACAAAUACACACACUUCUGAAGAAAUCCACCUCUUGUGUUCAUAAUCCAGAAACUAUUUUGUGAUAAAUAUACUGAUUCAAAUACUG